UACGUAGGGUGCGAGCGUUGCCCGGAUUUAUUGGGCGUAAAGGGCGCGUAGGCGGUGCCGUACGUCCGUUGUGAAAUCGCUCGGCUCAACUGGGCGGGGUCAGCGGAUACGGUGGCACUUGAGCAAGCUAGGGGGCAAUGGAAUUCCCGGUGUAGUGGUGGAAUGCGUAGACAUCGGGAGGAACACCAGUGGCGAAGGCGGUUGCCUGGGGCUUUGCUGACGCUGAUGCGCGAAAGCGUGGGGAGCGAUCCGG
rnacentral:rRNA from 1 species